AUUGAACGCUGGCGGCAUGCCUUACACAUGCAAGUCGAACGGCAGCACGGGAGCAAUCCUGGUGGCGCGUGGCGAACGGGUGAGUAAUAUAUCGGAACGUGCCCAGUCGUGGGGGAUAACGCAGCGAAAGCGGUGCUAAUACCGCAUACGAUCUACGGAUGAACGCGGGGGAUCGCAAGACCUCGCGCGAGUGGAGCGGCCGAUAUCAGAUUAGCUAGUUGGUGAGGUAAAGGCUCACCAAGGCGACGAUCUGUAGCUGGGCUGAGAGGACGACCAGCCACACUGGAACUGAGACACGGUCCAGACUCCUACGGGAGGCAGCAGUGGGGAAUUUUGGACAAUGGGCGCAAGCCUGAUCCAGCAAUGCCGCGUGCAGGAUGAAGGCCUUCGGGUUGUAAACUGCUUUUGUACGGAACGAAACGCCGAGCUCUAAUACAGUUUGCUAAUGACGGUACCGUAAGAAUAAGCACCGGCUAACUACGUGCCAGCCGCCGCAGUAAGAC
rnacentral:rRNA from 1 species